rnacentral:lncRNA from 1 species
AAAUUCAAAGAAAAAAUAUAAAAAUUCUAACGAAUAUUGAGAGAAGAAUUCUCAUAGAUUUCGAAAUGAUUAAUUCUGCUGUGGUCAAAUAUUAAUAAAGGGGGUUACUCCCUCUACCUCUCCAAUUCCAUCCCCCACUCCUCCCAAUUUUUUUGGAUUUUUUUUAAAUACAAAAAUAACCUUGUUGUUUUAUUUAUUUUUACCUUUAUACCCCUAUUUACUAAAGUUAACCUACCUGUCUCUUUUACACUCUGAACACACACAGAUUCAAGAUUCUCUCCUUCGUAUAAUCCCACCCCCACCAAAGCUUUCAUUUUCAAAUGCUCUCUGCAACUCUCACUCUUCCCGUCCUCCUCUGAACCUGCUGUUGCUUUGUGCGGCCUGUUGGUGUGCGGCGGGUGGCAGUGCCGUGAGUGUGUGGCGGUCCGGCGCAGUGUGGAGAGGUGUAGACGUUGGUUUCGUUUUGCGGGUGUGUUGGGCUGUGCGGUUGUGUUUGGUGCUUUGCAGCCGGUGUGUGCGGCGGCGCGGAGGGUGCUGGUGCGGCGGAUGUUGCGGCGGUGCGGGGCGGUGGUUCUUCUUCGUUCGUUUCGACAGGUUAGUUUCUUUUCGUUUCUUCUAUUUUUUUUUAAUGUAUGUAAUGUGUAGGAUUGGGUAGUUUUCUCUAUUGUUGAUAUUUGGUUGGUGUGUUUGUUGAGGUUUUUGUGGUCUGCUGUUGAGUUCUGUGUUAUUUGUGUGUUCUGUGUUGUGUGUAUUGAAGAAGAAGACGUCCAAUGUCGAUAUCAGUUGACGGAUGUCGACAUCCGUUUCCUAUUUUUAUGUUUUUAGUUUAUUUUAUAAGUAAUUAUAUUUUAACUUUUUAUUUUCAAUUCAUUUUGUUACGUUUUUAAUUUUUUUUGUUUUAUUAGUUUAUUGUAUUUAUAAUUAAUU